AAUACAUAGAAACGAUCACCAAGUCAAGGGGAUCGUAAGGUGGAGGCUUGGAAAGGAAGCGGGUCAAACGAAGCAAGAAUGGCGGAAAAGCGUAAUUCGGAUGCAAAGUACUUAUGGAUGCCGGAAGACGAUCAAGCUCAGUGAAGAACCGGACACGAUAAAGACACACGCUUCCGCACUUGGCCUCGUCAUAAAUUUUAAAUGACGAAUCUGAUUACGUUAUGUCAAAUAACUUUUGAUUUGCGAAAAGUUUUAAUAAACCCA